rnacentral:rRNA from 1 species
GAUGAACGCUGGCGGCGUGCCUAAUACAUGCAAGUCGAGCGAACAGACGAGGAGCUUGCUCCUCUGACGUUAGCGGCGGACGGGUGAGUAACACGUGGAUAACCUACCUAUAAGACUGGGAUAACUUCGGGAAACCGGAGCUAAUACCGGAUAACAUGUUGAACCGCAUGGUUCAACAGUGAAAGACGGUCUUGCUGUCACUUAUAGAUGGAUCCGCGCCGCAUUAGCUAGUUGGUAAGGUAACGGCUUACCAAGGCAACGAUGCGUAGCCGACCUGAGAGGGUGAUAGGCCACACGGGAACUGAGACACGGUCCAGACUCCUACGGGAGGCAGCAGUAGGGAAUCUUCCGCAAUGGGCGAAAGCCUGACGGAGCAACGCCGCGUGAGUGAAGAAGGUCUUCGGAUCGUAAAACUCUGUUAUUAGGGAAGAACAAAUGUGUAAGUAACUAUGCACGUCUUGACGGUAACUAAUCAGAAAGCCACGGCUAACUACGUG